rnacentral:rRNA from 1 species
UACGAAGGGGGCGAGCGUUGUCCGGAAUCACUGGGCGUAAAGGGCGCGUAGGCGGCUUCUCAAGCGUGCGGUGAAAGCUCGGGGCUCAACUCCGAGUCGGCCGUGCGAACUGGGCUCACUGGAGCAUAGUAGAGGCAGGUGGAAUUCCGGGUGUAGCGGUGGAAUGCGUAGAGAUCCGGAAGAACACCGGUGGCGAAGGCGGCCUGCUGGGCUAUGGCUGACACUGAGGCGCGACAGCGUGGGGAGCAAACAGG